AGAUUGAACGCUGGCGGCAGGCCUAACACAUGCAAGUCGAGCGGUAGAGAGGUGCUUGCAUCUCUUGAGAGCGGCGGACGGGUGAGUAAUGCCUAGGAAUCUGCCUAGUGGUGGGGGAUAACGUUCGGAAACGGACGCUAAUACCGCAUACGUCCUACGGGAGAAAGCGGGGGACCUUCGGGCCUCGCGCCAUUAGAUGAGCCUAGGUCGGAUUAGCUAGUUGGUGAGGUAAUGGCUCACCAAGGCGACGAUCCGUAACUGGUCUGAGAGGAUGAUCAGUCACACUGGAACUGAGACACGGUCCAGACUCUACGGGAGCAGCAGUGGGGAAUAUUGGACAAUGGGCGAAAGCCUGAUCCAGCCAUGCCGCGUGUGUGAAGAAGGUCUUCGGAUUGAAAGCACGUUUAAGUGGAGAAGGUUGUAACUUAAUACGUCUGACUAUUUAGACGUUACCGACAAGUAACUAAGCGACCGGCUUAACGUCGUCGCCAGCGACGUA
rnacentral:rRNA from 1 species